rnacentral:rRNA from 1 species
GGGUGAGUAACGCGUAGGUAACCUGCCUAUUAGCGGGGGAUAACUAUUGGAAACGAUAGCUAAUACCGCAUAAUAUUAAUUAUUGCAUGAUAAUUGAUUGAAAGAUGCAAGCGCAUCACUAGUAGAUGGACCUGCGUUGUAUUAGCUAGUUGGUAAGGUAAGAGCUUACCAAGGCGACGAUACAUAGCCGACCUGAGAGGGUGAUCGGCCACACUGGGACUGAGACACGGCCCAGACUCCUACGGGAGGCAGCAGUAGGGAAUCUUCGGCAAUGGACGAAAGUCUGACCGAGCAACGCCGCGUGAGUGAAGAAGGUUUUCGGAUCGUAAAGCUCUGUUGUAAGUCAAGAACGUGUGUGAGAGUGGAAAGUUCACACAGUGACG